CCUUGUUUGGCAGAUAAAUGCGUUAGGUUUAGGACCUAUUUAUAUGUAGUUCAUAACAAGAA
rnacentral:tRNA from 1 species